CCUACGGGGGGCAGCAGUGGGGGAUAUUGCACAAUGGGGGGAACCCUGAUGCAGCGACGCCGCGUGAGCGAUGGAGUACUUCGGUAUUUAAAGCUCUGUCAGCAGGGAAGAAAAUGACGGUACCUGACCAAGCAGCCCCGGCUAAAUACGUGCCAGCAGCCGCGGUAAUACGUAUGAGGCAAGCGUUAUCCGGAUUUACUGGGUGUAAAGGGAGCGUAGGCGGGAGGGCAAGCCUGAUGGGAAAGCCCGGGGCUCAACCCCGGGACUGCAUUGGGAACUGCUCUGCUGGAGUGUCGGAGGGGCAGGCGGAAUGCCUAGUGUAGCGGUGAAAUGCGUAGAUAUUAGGAAGAACACCAGUGGCGAAGGCGGCCUGCUGGACGGUGACUGACGCUGAGGCUCGAAAGCGUGGGGAGCAAACAGGAUUAGAUACCCGGGUAGUC
rnacentral:rRNA from 1 species